rnacentral:lncRNA from 10 species
CCCGCCUUCAUUUCAUCCCAGCCCUCACGAUGCCUAUGGAUUGAGUGGGAAGAGGCGUCUAUACUGCAGUGAAGAACUGACUACCCCUUGAUUCAGCCUCUUGACAAGAAUGCGCUGCACCAUGAUAUUGAUAUCUGGUCCAAAAGAGAAAAUACAUCAGCGCCCUAAAAUUAUAUUUUCUUCUUAAACACUGGAAAACAUUAGUCCCCAAGUGGCUCAUUAUACCAGAACUUAUAGAGCUGUUUGGCACAUGGUGAGGAAUCUUUGCUGGCAGCCUCCUUCUCUCACAAAGACAUAUUAUUCUUUUGAAAGCAUGCAAAGUUUCAAGCCUUGGCAAAUUGCACUAAGGUAGUAUCCUUCUUCUUCUGAGGUCAUACUAUUCUACACACAAGUAAUUUCUGCGAUCCAUGAAAAUGGUAUCUUCCUUGAACUUUCUUGAAUUGUGUAGCCAGCCACGUAACUGGAUUAUCUUGUACUCACAAAUAGUUUUUUUUUUCCUCAGUUGAUUCUCUUUUUUAAGACUUAAAAUGACUUCUUCUGCAAAUAAUGAUAAUUUGGCCUCUUUCUUUCCAAUAUUUAUCUUCUGUUCUUACUCUUUUUUGUUUGUUUGUUUGUUUUUUAAGACAGAGUCUCGCUCUGUCGCCCACGCUGGAGUACAGUGGCGUGAUCUCGGCUUACUGCUAGCUCCGCCUCCUGGGUUUCACGCCAUUCUCCUGCCUCAGUCUCCUGAGUAGCUGGGACUACAGGCACCCACCACCACGCCCAGCUAAUUUUUUGUAUUUUUAGUAGAGACAGGGUUUCACCGUGUUAGGCAGGAUGGUCUCGAUCUCCUGACCUCGUGAUUCGCCUGCCUUGGCCUCCCAAAGUGCUGGGAUUACAGGCGUGAGCCAUCGCGCCAGGCAUGUUCUUACUCUUGAGUAAUUAUAUUAGCAUCAAUGAGAAUCUCACUCACUUAGCCAAUACUUCCAGCAAAUGUUAAAUAAUGAUGAUAUUAGGGGCACCCUCAUUUUAAUCCUGAUAUGAAUGAGAAGUUUGGUCACUGAGGAUGAGUUGGCCUUUGAUUUGAGAUUUAUUUUUCAGUCAUGUUGAGAAAAUAUUCAUUUAUUCUUUCUUAACUAAGAUUUUAUUUUUAAAAAAUAAGAAUGGGUAUUGGAUUUUGUCAGAUGCCAUGUAAAUCUAAUAAAAUGAGCCUUUUCUUCUUGUUCUAUGGCACUAUUAGGUCUCUGACUAUGGGGCCCUCUUGGCAUUCCUGCAUGAACCCCAGUUGAUUAUAUCUUAUCAUUUUAAUGUAAUGCUGAAUUUGAUUUAUUAAUAUUUAAGAUUCCCCCCAUUAUUGGUCUACAGUUUAAAUUUUAUUUAUUUAUUUAUUUAUUUAUUUGAGACAGGGUCUUGCCCUGUCACCCAGGCUGGACUGCAGUGGCAUGAUUAUGGCUCACUGCAGCCUCUUCCUCCUGGGCUCAAGUGAUCCUCCCACCUGAGCCUCCCAAGUAACUUGGGCCACAGGUGCACCUCACUUUGCCCAACUAAUUUAUUUAUUUUUUAUUUUCUUGCAGAGAUGGGGUCUCCCUAUGUUGCCCAGACUAGUCUUGAACUCCUGGGCUCAAGCAAUCCUCUGGCCUUGACCUCCCAAAGUACUGGGAUUAUAGGCAUGAGCCACCAUGCCCAGCUGGUCUAUAGUUUUUAAUUUGUGACACUAUCUUUGAAAAGUUUUGGUAAUUGCAAUGGAUUUCCUUCUUUUACUAGGCUCCUGGUAAUUUAUUUAUUUAUUGAAGUUUUGAAAUAAUCAAGGGGACCCUGACACUUGAAAGUAGGAAGAAAAGUGUUUAAAUGUUCUCCUUAAUUUCUUAAUUAAGAAACCUCUUAAUUUCUUGCUGUAUGUUU